UAGCGUAUCCCCAGUCUUGUUUCUGGAAAUCUCACUUAAAGUUCAGUUACAACCCUAAUCUAAUUAAGAGUCAGGAACAAUUCAUAGUUACAGAAAGGUUUGCUGGAGCAGGAUUGACACUGAACUCUGCACGAAGAAAUAGGGUUGUGAUGAGUGGGGCGGGGCCGCGAGCCAUGAGAACGGAAUGAGGCCAGUGGAGUGACUGGAAAUGAGCGACGCCUGCUCCACUCACCGGUCUCGCGUCCCGCGGUGGAGAUGGAAGGAUACAAAAGAGGGUGCGACGACAGUGAACAACGAGAGAGGGCCAGGCCAGGCCAUGAUUUUAGUUUGUGUUUGGUUUUUGUUUGUAAGCGACAGUCGUCCGUGAAGGGCUGUCGCAGUGUUUUGUGUUUAUUUUGUUAUUAAAAGCCUUAUUUGAUUGAUG